GACCUCGUCGACCGAAAUCGUGAGGCCGGUUCUGCAAACACUCUGCCCCGGAAGGGCGAGCACGCGCUUCAGCAUGGGCACGCCAAUGGGCAAAUAGCCGUUCAAAUCGAGGAAGGUCGCGAGCGGCUCCGGCNACGGCGACCAAUUCAGUAACUUGGAAUUGGUCCGCCGGUCGGAGGCGGUAGAGACCGAUCGGCACGCUCGCGGAUGCGUUCCAGAUGUAUAGCGGAAUCGGCUCCAGGACGAUCGUCGC
rnacentral:misc_RNA from 1 species